CAAGCCUGCUCCAUGUCCUUCACUGCCCCUGAAGGUAUAGAACAAAAGAUCACUUGUGCUCCCACUCCUUGAACUAAACACCCUAAGCACCUGAAAUCUCUUUUCAUAGUUUGUAGGCUUCUCGAAGAAAUUUCAUCACUGCCCACCAGAACUAUGAGUAAUGGAAAGUAAUCAACGGACCUAACCAGCUUUGGGAGUUUUCUAGUUAUGUCCCUGACCCAGGCCCCAGGAAGGCAGCACACUUACCAAUGGCUUGGGUCCAGUCUGCAUAUGAGGCCCUCUGUUCCUCUGAGAAGGGAGUCACCCAUCAUGACCACCUUCCUGACAGAGGCAGUCUCAAAAUGUGGGGAUGACCACCUCGCCUUAGGCUCCCUCCUAGGCAGAUCCUCCAUUGCCUCCCCACUCACCUCUCCUUCAAUUUCCAGACUGUUGCUUAGUUGGAGCUGGGGAAGUGGGGUAGGCAGGUGGGAGGGGGCUCUUAUAUGACAUCAAGUCGGGACUCUCUUCCAACCCUCCUCAACUGUCAGGUCUGUCCGACUGUGACAGGGCAGGGAGUCAACCACUUUUCUGUGGGUAUCUCCCUGGCACCCUUCCCUCUGGCACGCCAGCGAGUCACUCCACCAGGCAAUCUCCUGCUCACGCUCCCUGAUGGUCCUUAGUCUCUCCACCUCCUCCUUGAGCUCCACCACCAGGCUGAGCAGCUUAUCCACCUGCUCGUACUUCACAGAGGUGGAAUCUCUGCCACCCUCCCCGGACAGCAGCAGACUCAGGCACUCCCUGCAGCCAGAGACCUGCACAGCUACAUUUCUGGGCAGGCCCUCCAUCUGGGUCACCACAGUCUUCUUGGAAUAAGCCUGUUGUCUGGCAGAGACAGUGUUUAGGCCUGUGGUCUCAGAGACUGCCAAGAGGAAAGCCAGUCUCCUGAGCAAAGAGGAACAACACUUACACACCUCACCACUUGACCCACCUCCCACACCCACAGCUGCAGCAUCGUAUAGGCAGUGUGGGCUGUGCUCACUCGCUGAACCUCCCCAGUCUCAGUGGGCAGAGACCACGGUUGCUCACCUGGUGUGGUCUGUGGGCUGAAGCUAGCUCCGCGAGACUGUUUUAAGCUUAUCACCAGGUGCCAAGGUCAAGGGCGGUUGAUGACACCUUCGUAGGGUGUUUAAACUGUGCCACUAAUGUGCCAGCUCCACCCCUGCUCACUCAGCAGCCUGCCCACAAGCUGCCAAGCUCCCAGCACAAGCGCAGCACUGUUGUUGGCUUCAAAAAAGCCUUAAAAGAAAAAAACAUUUUCUUUCUAAACUGUUGGCCUUUUUCACUCCAGAUCCCUUGCCCAGUGCAGUCUUACCUGCUCUGAAGCUAGUCUCUGCAGCAAAUCAAUCAUUACUGGUGUGAUACUGGUCAAAUCACAUCAUUACUGCUGAUGAGACGUGGCAUCACCACUAUGACCUGGAGUCAAAACAGCAGUCCAUGCAGCAGCGACAUGUGAAAUCCCAC
ensembl:lncRNA